UACGGAGGGAGCUAGCGUUGUUCGGAAUUACUGGGCGUAAAGCGCGCGUAGGCGGCUUUGUAAGUUAGAGGUGAAAGCCCGGGGCUCAACCCCGGAAUUGCCUUUAAGACUGCAUCGCUUGAAUCCGGGAGAGGUGAGUGGAAUUCCGAGUGUAGAGGUGAAAUUCGUAGAUAUUCGGAAGAACACCAGUGGCGAAGGCGGCUCACUGGACCGGCAUUGACGCUGAGGUGCGAAAGCGUGGGGAGCAAGCAGG
rnacentral:rRNA from 1 species